AAAGUUUACAGUUGUAGAUUGAUACGGUUGUGGUCAUGCUUGUGAGACCACACUUGCGCCAUUCUCUGCUUGGCUAGUUCGCUUCCGGCCCAACCCGGCCCAUUCAUCUCUCUGUCCCUGUCCGUUCGUCUCGGCUCGAGCGCCGACCCCGAAGGCAGAUCGCCCGCUCCGCUCCCAAUCUCCACUGCCUCCACCCGCUGCGCUUGCUUUCUGUACAGUACCCACCCCCCACCCGCCGUUGCUCAAGAGCGGCGCAGCGAUUCCGGCGACUAGACAUGCGGCGGCCUUCGGCGAGGUAGUCCCAAGUCCCGUUUCCCCCCUUUGCUUUCCUUGUGUACCCUAGCUCUAGGUCUUGGUGAGGUCAACAUGGAUUGCAGUUCAGGGGGUUGAGGAGGAAGUGGGGGAGAAAUCGAUCUGCACCAUUUUCAGUAUCUGCGUGGAAUGAAGUUGGGUAGUUUGGGCUGAUCUGUACUGUUAUCUUAUCUCCCCCGGGAGUCUUCCAGAGUUUCGUCUGCUGCCUUCCCUCCUCAGUAAUACUUGGACUUGGGAUGACUCGACUUCUUAAGUGCUCCGUCGAGACGACGAGUUUCCAUAUGCCUCCUGUUCGAAUUUCAUAAUGGGUUGCAUCGAUCCAACCCCUGAUUUAUUUCACCGCGUUCUCCCGCUCGGGAUAACAUUGUUAGGGACUACAAGAAGUAGAAUACAUAUACACACGGCAUCCCCCUUUUGUAAUUGUUGGUGAGCACAUUAGUUAUCCUUCCAUUAAUUUUGUGAGAGUCCUUGAAUCUGCUUCGUACCCAUGCCUUAACUGCCCUUUCUCAAAAUAGGUUUCACUACAUGUAUGUGCUCUGCUCCAUUGUCUCCGGCUAACCCUGUCCUCUAACCUGAACACUGAUUUGCUAAGCUUGUGGGAGACCAUGUGUUCAGAGCCAGUACUGAAAACCAGAACCAUGCUUAAUGUUAUAGCCUCGUACAUCAUCUGAAAUUUGUGCAAGGAGCGAACUGCUCCGAUCUUCAGCGACACCACCUCUCGCCCCUUGCAUUUGCAUUUCGCCUUGAAGAUUGCAAAUGAUAUGCCACACAUGUUUGCCUUGGCAGAAUAGCCUACGUACUGCUAUCUUUCUUCUCUGUAGUCUAAUUUCUACUUGUUCCCUGCUAGGUUGUAAAUCUUAUCGGUGUUUCAAUUGACUUCAAAGUGAAAUCAACAUACCAAUGGAAUAUCCCAACAUCACAGUGCUUCAAAUCGAUGGUUUCCUCAUCACAGGGAAAUAAAGAAGGUUGUGCCGCACCAAGGUGCUGUGCUGUGGUGGGUCUUGCUGCAGAACCGCCACAACAAGUGACAAAUGACGGUUGUUGUUGACCUCAUUUAGAAAUAAUUGGCAGAUAUGAACAUUUUUAAGCUCAUGACGUGUUAGUGAGUUUGUUAAGAUGGAUGUGGUACUGUGAUACUAGUGUGUUAAGCGGAGCAAAUGUGAAGCUUUGUCAUUUUUUCUUAUAAUGGAUUAAGCCUGGUUCAGUCAGAUUAUAAACUUUGGUCAGUUUACUCUUUGUAAAUCAUGUGUACAAAUUCGAGCAUAAUAAAUUCAUGGGAACAAAAAUCUAUAUCAGUAGCGAGCGCUAUUCUUU
rnacentral:lncRNA from 1 species